AGCAGAGACUGAGCCACUGCACUCCAGCUUGGGUGAUAGAGUGAGACUCUGUCUCAAAAACAAAACAAAACAAAUCAAACACUGCUUUGGGCUCAAAUCCCUGAUUCUCAGUGUAUGAACUUUGCAACUUUACCUCUCUGUGCCUGCUUCCUCACUUACCAGGGAAAGUUUCAGAACUGUUGCUCCUGGCAGACACUUCGUGGACACGCAUACUCACCAUGCCUCCUUCCUGCUGACAACUGGGGACUUAAGUCACAACCUGCAGACUAGCACAGAGAAAUGUCUGACUCUUCAGUUGAGUUCAACAAAUGCUUAUUGAGCACCUCCUAAGUACCAGGCACUGUUGAUACAAAGAAAAAGUCUCACUCUGUCUCCCAGGCUGGAGUGCACAGGCACAAUCUCGGCUGGCUGCAGCCUCCACCUCCCAGGUUCAAGUGAUUCUUGUGCCUCAGCCUCCUGAGAUAUCUUUAAAGUUUUCUUGUUUCUUUCUUAAGAAAACUCUCCCUAUUCUAAUCUCCACUCAUAAUUCUCAAGAUGGUGUACAAAUAUUGCUAUAAAUAACUAUUCAUCAGGAAGUUCCAAGAAAGGUUCUGUUGGGCAAUAGUUGAUAUAACUCAUGAAAUAAAUAUUUACUGAACAUGUAUUAUGUGCCAGUAAUUAAUUAUGCAGUUUUUAUCUAGGAGGUAUAAAUACAUUUUUGCUUUUGGUAAAAUAAUAUUUUCACAAACAUAUUUAGAAAGGUUUUACAGCAUUAUUUUUACCCAUAGUGUAUUAAUUUUCUCAAUUAUGACUUCACUGGUGGUAGGUUUUAAGAACAUAAUCUUCAUAGAAAGUGAAAAAGAUAUAUAUUUAUACCAUACUCCCAUUAAUGGUAAUUCAUGGCCCAAACCUAUCCCU
rnacentral:lncRNA from 1 species